GUUAAGUCCCGCAACGAGCGCAACCCUUGCCUUUAGUUGCCAUCAUUCAGUUUGGGCACUCUAGAGGGACUGCCGGUGUCAAACCGGAGGAAGGUGGAGAUGACGUCAAGUCCUCAUGGCCUUUAUGCCCAGGGCUACACACGUGCUACAAUGGGCGGUACAAAGAGCAGCGAGCUCGCGAGAGUAAGCAAAUCUCAAAAAGCCGUCCUCAGUUCGGAUUGGAGUCUGCAACUCGACUCCAUGAAGUUGGAAUCGCUAGUAAUCGCGGAUCAGCAUGCCGCGGUGAAUACGUUCCCGGGCCUU
rnacentral:rRNA from 1 species